GACGAACGCUGGCGGCGUGCUUAACACAUGCAAGUCGAACGGAAAGGCCCUGCUUGCAGGGUACUCGAGUGGCGAACGGGUGAGUAACACGUGGGUGAUCUGCCCUGCACUUCGGGAUAAGCUUGGGAAACUGGGUCUAAUACCGGAUAGGAGCCAUCUUUAGUGUGGUGGUUGGAAAGUUUUUUCGGUGUAGGAUGAGCUCGCGGCCUAUCAGCUUGUUGGUGGGGUAAUGGCCUACCAAGGCGGCGACGGGUAGCCGGCCUGAGAGGGUGUACGGCCACAUUGGGACUGAGAUACGGCCCAGACUCCUACGGGAGGCAGCAGUGGGGAAUAUUGCACAAUGGGCGCAAGCCUGAUGCAGCGACGCCGCGUGGGGGAUGAAGGCCUUCGGGUUGUAAACUCCUUUCGCUAGGGACGAAGCUUUUUGUGACGGUACCUAGAUAAGAAGCACCGGCGAACUACGU
rnacentral:rRNA from 1 species